AAACACUCUACGGACUGACUGACCACAAUCUCUAUGGAAUUACAAGAUAGGCAAAAGAAAAUAUAUUAUAUCUUAAUCACAACAUGUUUCUGAACUUUGUAGAGUAGACAGUGAUUUUCAAAUUUAGUGGUUAGUAAUUUAGUGGUACAAGUCAAAAGUGACUUGUAAUAACGUGUGUGUGUUUGUGUGUGUGUGUGUUUGUGUUUGUGUAAGCACAAAUACAAUAUUAACUACCAGUAAAAAAAAUAAAUCCCAUAAAUGGUAUCAGCGAUAAUACCAAUAAUUAAUAUUGUUGCUAAACCAGCACUUCCGCAACUUUGCUUGUAAAAAAAUGAACCUAUUAAACCAAAGUGCAUAAAAUAGCAAAAUAGAAGAAAUUUAUUAAACAUAAAAGGACACAGUAACUUGUACAA